rnacentral:rRNA from 1 species
GUAGGGAAUCUUCCACAAUGGACGAAAGUCUGAUGGAGCAACGCCGCGUGAGUGAAGAAGGUUCUCGGAUCGUAAAACUCUGUUGUGAGGGAAGAACAAGUACCGGAGUAACUGCCGGUACCUUGACGGUACCUCAUUAGAAAGCCACGGCUAACUACGUGCCAGCAGCCGCGGUAAUACGUAGGUGGCAAGCGUUGUCCGGAAUCAUUGGGCGUAAAGCGCGCGCAGGCGGUCCCUUAAGUCUGAUGUGAAAGCCCACGGCUCAACCGUGGAGGGUCAUUGGGAACUGGGGGACUUGAGUGCAGAAGAGGAAAGCGGAAUUCCAAGUGUAGCGGUGAAAUGCGUAGAGAUUUGGAGGAACACCAGUGGCGAAGGCGGCUUUCUGGUCUGUAACUGACGCUGAGGCGCGAAAGCGUGGGGAGCAAACAGGAUUAGAAACCCGGGUAGUCC